CUUGAACGCUGGCGGCAGGCCUAACACAUGCAAGUCGAGCGAGCGGCGGACGGGUGAGUAAUGUAUGGGGACUGCCCGAUAGAGGGGGAUAACUACUGGAAACGGUAGCUAAUACCGCAUACUAUCGGAUAACCCAUAUGGGAUUAGCUAGUAGGUGAGGUAAUGGCUCACCUCGUCGACGAGCCCUAGCUGGUCUGAGAGGAGGCUCAGCGACACUGGGACGCAGACACGGCCCAGACGCCUACGGAGGCAGCAGUGGGGAAGAUGGCACAAUGGGCGAAAGCCUGAUGCAGCCAUGCCGCGUGUAUGAAGAAGGCCCUAGGGUUGUAAAGUACUUGCAGUCGGGAGGCGUUACCGACAGAAGAAGCACCGGCUAACUCCGUGCCAGCAGCCGCGGUAAUUC
rnacentral:rRNA from 1 species